rnacentral:rRNA from 1 species
CUACGGGCGGCUCCAGUGGGGAAUUUUGGACAAUGGGGGCAACCCUGAUCCAGCCAUUCCGCGUGAGUGAAGAAGGCCUUCGGGUUGUAAAGCUCUUUCGGCAGGAACGAAACGGUGUGAGUUAAUACCUCAUAUCAAUGACGGUACCUGAAGAAGAAGCACCGGCUAACUACGUGCCAGCAGCCGCGGUAAUACGUAGGGUGCGAGCGUUAAUCGGAAUUACUGGGCGUAAAGCGUGCGCAGGCGGUUAUGUAAGACAGGUGUGAAAUCCCCGGGCUUAACCUGGGAACUGCGCUUGUGACUGCAUAACUCGAGUGUGGCAGAGGGGGGUGGAAUUCCACGUGUAGCAGUGAAAUGCGUAGAGAUGUGGAGGAACACCGAUGGCGAAGGCAGCCCCCUGGGUCAACACUGACGCUCAUGCACGAAAGCGUGGGUAGCAAACAGGAUUAGAUACCCGGGUAGUC